rnacentral:rRNA from 1 species
AGUGAACGCUGGCGGUAGGCCUAACACAUGCAAGUCGAACGGCAGCACAGUAAGAGCUUGCUCUUACGGGUUGCGAGUGGCGGACGGGUGAGGAAUACAUCGGAAUCUACUUUUUCGUGGGGGAUAACGUAGGGAAACUUACGCGAAUACCGCAUACGACCUACGGGUGAAAGCAGGGGAUCUUCGGACCUUGCGCGAUUGAAUGAUCCGAUGUCGGAUUAGCUAGUUGGCGGGGUAAAGGCCCACCAAGGCGACGAUCCGUAGCUGGUCUGAGAGGAUGAUCAGCCACACUGGCACUGAGAAACGGUCCAGACUCCUACGGGAGGCAGCAGUGGGGAAUAUUGGACAAUGGGCGCAAGCCUGAUCCAGCCAUACCGCGUGGGUGCAGAAGGCCUUAGGGUUGUAAAGCCAUUUUGUUGGGAAAGAAAAGCAGCAGGUUAAUCCCCCGCUGUUCUGACGGUACCCAAAGAAUAAGCACCGGCUAACUUCGUG